rnacentral:rRNA from 1 species
CUCAGGAUGAACGCUAGCGGCAGGCUUAAUACAUGCAAGUCGUGGGGCAGCAUGAGUAGCAAUACUUGAUGGCGACCGGCAAACGGGUGAGGAACACGUACACAACCUUCCUUCAAGCGGGGAAUAGCCCAGAGUAAAUUGGAUUAAUACCCAUAAUAUAUUUGAUAAGGCAUCUUAUUAAUAUUAAAGCUUCGGCACUUGAUGAUGGGUGUGCGGCUGAUUAGAUAGUUGGCGGGGUAACGGCCCACCAAGUCUACGAUCAGUAGCUGAUGUGAGAGCAUGAUCAGCCACACGGGCACUGAGACACGGGCCCGACUCCUACGGGAGGCAGCAGUAAGGAAUAUUGGACAAUGGACGAAAGUCUGAUCCAGCCAUGCCCGCGUGAAGGAUUAAGGUCCUCUGGAUUGUAAACUUCUUUUAUAUGGGACGAAAAAAGGGCAUUCUUGUUCACUUGACGGUACCAUAUGAAUAAGCACCGGCUAACUCCGUG